GUGCCAGCAGCCGCGGUAAUACGUAGGUGGCAAGCGUUGUCCGGAUUUAUUGGGCGUAAAGCGCGCGCAGGCGGCUAUGUAAGUCUGGUGUUAAAGCCCGGGGCUCAACCCCGGUUCGCAUCGGAAACUGUGUAGCUUGAGUGCAGAAGAGGAAAGCGGUAUUCCACGUGUAGCGGUGAAAAUGCGUAGAGAUGUGGAGGAACACCAGUGGCGAAGGCGGCUUUCUGGUCUGUAACUGACGCUGAGGCGCGAAAGCGUGGGGAGCAAACAGGAUUAGAUACCCUGGUAGUCC
rnacentral:rRNA from 1 species